GUUCUGGCAGUCAGUCUAAGGUUGAUAUUUACUUCUCUCACAAUUUUCCAGUAUGAAUGUGGUGAAAGGUUCUUCCUUCUUCCAGACUUGGGAAGAGUUUAACAGUGCCAUAGUCCUGUACUUUUUGAUAAUUGACAUAAUGGUUGAAAUUGGAAUUAGCAUCUGUUUGAAGAUUUCUUGUAGCCAUUUCCAGCAUUAUAAAAGGUUGAUAAGUUUGUUCCUGAGAAAUUCCUUUGCCCAUACUGACUAUUAUUGCAUACUAAAUACAGAAGGAAUAUAGUUAUUUUUAUACCUUCUUAUUAUUUCUAGAAUCUUGCAGAGAGCUCUU
rnacentral:lncRNA from 1 species